GAAAACCGCUGGGUUGCAUACUUGUAUGACGUCCUGAAAAAACCAGUCAGGAGUCUCUUGUGAUUGGUGGAAGAGUCGUCCAUCUCUCCGAUCUCAGCCAAUCCAUGCAGAUGACACUGAGGGUCCACCGAGACCCAGGCGUGACCCGCUGCACCAGUGCGCACCGGCGGAGACACCAGAACACCGGCCAGAGGAACCGGCAACUCUGAAGAGAAAAACAGCAGGUCACAUUUAAACACACUCAC
rnacentral:lncRNA from 1 species